AGUAAUCACCGCCGUUCCAUGCCCUCGCCCGCCAGGCCGCCUCUACAAUCCACGCCUCGCUGCUCCCGAUCCAAUUCAUACCGCGACGGCGACGGCGCGACACAUGCUUCUUCAGUUGUCAAAUCUUCUGGAUCCUCCGGAUCCAGCCAACAGGAACUAGCCAAGGACCCAAGCUAUGAAGAGAAAAGCGCUGCCAAACACUGUUAAGAUUAGUUCAUUUUUAAGCCGGUUGUUUCAAGUUCGAGCUACUGAAAUUGUCUCAAGUUCGAGCUACUAAAAUUGUCUCAAGUUCUCGGUAUUGCAUGAUCAUAUAUGUUGAAGAAAAUUUAGAAGGUUAUGAAAUGGCAUCUAACUAGAAGGAUCGACCGAGCGGACUCGUGUAAAAGAAGCACAAGACACGAUUGAACUGAAGGGGCAAGGGAUG